GACGAACGCUGGCGGCGUGCUUAACACAUGCAAGUCGAACGAUGAAGCCCAGCUUGCUGGGUGGAAGAGUGGCGAACGGGUGAGUAACACGUGAGUAACCUGCCCUGAACUCUGGGAUAAGCACUGGAAACGGUGUCUAAUACUGGAUACGACCUAUCACCGCAUGGUGUGUGGGUGGAAAGAUUUAUCGGUUCUGGAUGGACUCGCGGCCUAUCAGCUAGAUGGUGAGGUAAUGGCUCACCAUGGCGACGACGGGUAGCCGGCCUGAGGGGGUGACCGGCCACACGGGGACUGAGCAACGGCCAAGCCUCCUCGGGGGGGAAGGGGGGGGGAAUAUGGAACAAGGGGGGAAAGCCUGAUGCAGCAACCCCGGGGGGGGGAAGACGGCCUUCGGGUGGAAAACCCUUUUUAGUGGGGAAGAAGGGAAAGUGACGGUACCUGCAAAAAAAGCACCGGUUAACUACGU
rnacentral:rRNA from 1 species